rnacentral:rRNA from 1 species
GUCCUUUUGGUAAUAAUUUAAGGUUUGACCUGCCCACUGAGAUUUUAAAUGGCCGUGGUAUUUUGACCGUGCUAAGGUAGCAUAAUCAUUAGUUUUCUAAUUAAAAACUGGAAUGAAAGGUCGGAUAAGAAAAUAGCUGUCUCUAUUUAAUUUAAUUAGAAUUUUAUUUUUAAGUUAAAAAGCUUAAUUGUUUUUAAAAGACGAGAAGACCCUAUAGAGUUUAAUUAUUAAAUAAAAAUUAUAUUUUAGUAUUAAUUUAUUUGAUUUAUUUAAUAAUUUAAUUGGGGUGAUUAAAAAAUUUAAUUAACUUUUUUUAUUUUAAAUCAUUAAUUUAUGAUUAAAUGAUCCAAUAGUUUUGAUUAUAAGAUAAAAUUACCUUAGGGAUAACAGCGUAAUUUUUUUAGAGAGUUCAUAUUAAAAGAAAAGAUUGCGA